GUUGAGAAAAGAAAUUCAAGAAGUGAAGAAGGACUUGGAAAGCUUGAAGAAUACUGUAGAAAAUGGACAAAAUGAAGUAUUGGAAUUGUUAAAUAAUAUAAUCACCAUAAUCAAUGAAAGAAUGCCAACAGAAAAACAAUCACAAGGAUCGUACCAUGAAAAUCAUGCUCCAACUUUAAGUUUGCAACGUCUUGAGGAAAGAAUGAAUAUUCAUAACUUGGAUAAUGCAGAGAUUAAUGAAGAAGAAAUUGAACAAGAACAGAAUGUAGAAGAACUGGAGCAAGCAAUCAAGAAUAUUGAUAAGUUCAUCAACAAUAAUCAAGAAGAUGCCAAAAAAAAAUGAGGAAGAAAUAGAGAAUCAAGAAGUUAAUGCAGAAGAUCAACCAAUGAAUCCAGAAAAUGAAGACAAAAAUAAUGAAAAAGACAAUGAAGAAAAGCAAAUGAAUGAAGUUUCAAAAGAAGCACAUCACCCAACCGUAAGUAAUUUAGUAUAC